UGUGUGUGUGUGUGUGUAUUCUUUCUUGAUCUAGAUCUAGAUCAACCGCACGUGCAAGUGACUGACUGAAACAGAAUUUCACAAGAGAUAGAUAGGAGAGUUCCAAUUCGGGAAGUUCAAGCCUCGUUUUCAAAGUACAUAGGUGCACCGGAAGCAGAUUACAGGGGAAAGCUAAAUUGUCUUCGUUUUGGGGAAGAGCAAAGAAUGGGUCAAAACUUGGAGUAAAAAUAGUUGGAUUACACGUUUCUUUCCUUUGUCAAGAUAUCAGCUGGGAUUGCCCCAUAGCUGGCUAUAUAUUCUUUACUGAGAUUUCAUUUGUCAAGUUUAUCAAUUACGGAGGAGUACUGUAGCAUGAUUUGAAAGUGGAUAUAAUUUCUUUUUCAUCAUGAAUGGCCUGAGUCCAGGCAAGUAUGUUCCGAGCAGUCCUAUUUGUACAGAUCCUUUCAAUACCAAGUAUACCGUCCAGGAGGAUAUUGGGAGGUGAGUUGAAUUUUUAAAUUAUUAUGUGUUGAUGUCUGUAGUUUUGGAAUGUGUGUUAUCGGUAUGGUUGCUACAGUUGAACCAGUCCUGACUGUCCAUAAAUGUCACUCAAGAUUGCACAGAGAAAAGGUUAUUAUCAUUAUAAUAAGAAGACAUGUGACCAUUAUGGACAGGAUCUGAGUUCUUAAUACAGGUAUAAAAAUAAAUUCUUACUUGGGUACAUAUAUGUGUAGUAAGCCAUUUCGUUUCCAUCAAAAUGGUGUCUAUCAUUGGAGCUUCUAAAAAAAUAUAUAUGUUGCCAACAGAUUCAAACACCCUUGGAAUAGCGGCCAUUCAUGAGUCGAAACAACACAAGAGAAAGCAAAUAAACAAAUUUUAAAAAGCCAAAAAAAACA